GAACAUCUAUCGGGCAAGAACAAGCGCUCAGUUGUUUUAAGGCAUUUUUUCAUAUCAAGGACGGAGUCCUUGGUCCCCGUGGUUUCCCACAGCACUGGCUGCGUCCCUUGCUGUGUCCCAGGUGCCAUCAGGUACUCCGGAAUUAUGAGAGCAGGUGCUGAAGCAGAACAGAAGAAUCUUUUCUCAAAUGGUUACAUACCCAAAGGCUGCGGGACGAUACCUGGAGGAGCCAGCGCGGUGCCUUAGGUUGCUCCUUCAUUGCUAAGAAACCAUUUUGCUGCAGAGACAUUGGACAAACAUGCUGCGGUUUCAGGGCGCUGCUGAAAAAUCUCCUCUCCGCGUUUGUAAACAGGAGAUUUGCGCUGAAAUAUGUAUUUGCUUUAGCC